rnacentral:rRNA from 1 species
UACGGAGGGUGCAAGCGUUAUCCGGAUUCACUGGGCUUAAAGGGUGCGUAGGCGGAUAAGUAAGUCAGUGGUGAAAUCUCUGGGCUUAACUCAGAAACUGCCGUUGAUACUAUUUAUCUUGAAUAUCAUGGAGGUAAGCGGAAUAUGUCAUGUAGCGGUGAAAUGCUUAGAUAUGACAUAGAACACCAAUUGCGAAGGCAGCUGGCUACACAAAUAUUGACACUGAGGCACGAAAGCGUGGGGAUCAAACAGG